UUGACCUCGGAUCAGGUAGGGAUACCCGCUGAACUUAUAU
rnacentral:rRNA from 1 species